CUAAGGGCUUCAGUUAUCAUUUCAGCAGACUGAGAGGCAACUAACAGCAAAAGACAACAUGUAAAGGAAAACCUGUGGCAAACGGAGGCCAACUGAAGGUUGACAAAAAUCUUUCGGAGAUACAACCGCAGCUGGAUAAGACUUGAAAAAGUAAAACUCCAGCACAGGGAAAGCUACGUGACUCAAUCUGAAUCACCCAGCAACUGACCGCCUCUUCUCAGCUCCAGCCUCUGAGCCAAGACCAGGACCAGGAUGUCCACUGUGCACACAAAGACCAGAGUGAUAUGGACCCUCAACCAAACUGCUGUGAAGAUACCAAACAACGUAACAGAGCAAUCCCAUAUCCCGUAUUUUCCUUACCAAAGCUCCACACCAGCACUUUACACCAGGGAGACAGUACAAACAACAGCCUCGGUCGACCGGUCUUUCUAUCACCACUCCGUAAUAGCAGUUACCUUGGCGCGGCCAUAUCCGUCAUCAUCAUCCGGCAUUAAUUCAUCAUAAGGGAUGAGGCAUUAGAGAAACUGCAGAGGGACUUAACAUGGCGGAGCAGUGACAGGGGCUCCCUCUGGUGUGAUGAAAGAACACACUGGGAGCUCCAUGCUGUGAUGGGCAAAAUAGUAUGUACGUCGCAGAUGUGACAAAUGAUGUUUGGGGAAGUUGAACAGCGUUUAAAAGACGACUGCUGGAGGAUGAUAGUAAUUUCAGAAAGUAAAGUCAGUUUAUGAUGUUUUAAGAAGUGUGUGAGAGCUGGCUCAGUUUGACUGUUUGGAUUAUUAUCUAUGUCAAGUGCAUGUUUCUCUCUAAUUCCCCCCACAGAAGCUUAUUCCUGGUGAUGCCUUAAAACAGCAUUUAGACCAUCAUGUUCAGGAAAUUUAAGAUGUUUCCCGGGUCAGAACUACAUACAAUUUCAAGGGGAAAUAAAGGUUAUUAUAAAGACUUAUUAUUGUUUGUCAGAGGUUAGUCAAUUGUCACCAUGUGCAGUUGUUGAUUUUCAGUAAAAAAAAAAAAGUCCUUGAAAAAGCUACUGCAUUUAA